rnacentral:rRNA from 1 species
GGGGAAUAUUGCACAAUGGGGGAAACCCUGAUGCAGCGACGCCGCGUGAAGGAUGAAGUAUCUCGGUAUGUAAACUUCUAUCAGCAGGGAAGAAAAUGACGGUACCUGACUAAGAAGCCCCGGCUAACUACGUGCCAGCAGCCGCGGUAAUACGUAGGGGGCAAGCGUUAUCCGGAUUUACUGGGUGUAAAGGGAGCGUAGACGGCUGUGCAAGUCUGAUGUGAAAACCCGGGGCUCAACCCCGGGACUGCAUUGGAAACUGUGCAGCUCGAGUGUCGGAGAGGUAAGUGGAAUUCCUAGUGUAGCGGUGAAAUGCGUAGAUAUUAGGAGGAACACCAGUGGCGAAGGCGGCUUACUGGACGAUGACUGACGUUGAGGCUCGAAAGCGUGGGGAGCAAAC